rnacentral:lncRNA from 1 species
UAGUGACAUUUCCUCCGGAAAGCCAGAAUAUUACCCUCAGUGAAGAGUGCAGAUUCGAGGAAUGCCAACAAAGCUGCUACGAUGCCCACCAAAACACGUAUGAGGUUCGAGGACAAUGCAACGGCUUCACAUGCAUUUGUAGAUACAAGCCACCGUGCACGCUCAGGAAGUGCAUUCGUGAGUGCAGAAAACGAGAACAAAAACAUCUGUUUGGACUGAAAGCGAUCUGCGUGAGAGCAGAUUGCCACUGUGACUGGAAGAACAGAUGCUUCCAAGCGCAGUGCAAAGAAUCAUGCAAGAAACAGCUAAAGUGGACUGAAAGCGAAGCCUCUAAAUGGUCAGUUAGAGCGAAAUGCGUGAACGGUGACUGUAUCUGCAAAUCUGGGCCACCACGAUAAAAAAGGAGUGGAGAGAAACAAGCAGGGCAAGUAACAGCCUUAAGUGUCGCCAUCUUUCUUGUGCGA